rnacentral:rRNA from 1 species
AACCUCCGCAAUGUGAGAAAUCGCGACGGGGGGAUCCCAAGUGCCAUUCUUAACGGGAUGGCUUUUCAUUAGUGUAAAAAGCUUUUGGAAUAAGAGCUGGGCAAGACCGGUGCCAGCCGCCGCGGUAACACCGGCAGCUCUAGUGGUAGCAAUUUUUAUUGGGCCUAAAGCGUCCGUAGCCGGUUUAAUAAGUCUCUGGUGAAAUCCUGUAGCUUAACUGUGGGAAUUGCUGGAGAUACUAUUAGACUUGAGACCGGGAGAGGUUAGAGGUACUCCCAGGGUAGAGGUGAAAUUCUGUAAUCCUGGGAGGACCGCCUGUUGCGAAGGCGUCUAACUGGAACGGUUCUGACGGUGAGGGACGAAAGUUAGGGGCGCGAACCGGAUUAGAUACCCGGGUAGUCCUAACUGUAAACGAUGCGGACUUGGUGUUGGGGUGGCUUUGAGCUGCUCCAGUGCGAAGGGAAGCUGUUAAGUCCGCCGCCUGGGAAGUACGGUCGCAAGACUGAAACUUAAAGGAAUG